GACGAACGCUGGCGGCGUGCCUAAUACGUGCAAGUCGAGCGGAAUGAUGAAGAAGCUUGCUUCUUCUGAUUUUAGCGGCGGACGGGUGAGUAACACGUGGGCAACCUACCUUGUAGAUUGGGAUAACUCCGGGAAACCGGGGCUAAUACCGAAUAAUCCAUUUUGCUUCAUGGCGAGAUGUUGAAAGACGGUUUCGGCUGUCACUAUAAGAUGGGCCCGCGGCGCAUUAGCUAGUUGGUAGGGUAAUGGCCUACCAAGGCGACGAUGCGUAGCCGACCUGAGAGGGUGAUCGGCCACACUGGGACUGAGACACGGCCCAGACUCCUACGGGAGGCAGCAGUAGGGAAUCUUCCACAAUGGACGAAAGUCUGAUGGAGCAACGCCGCGUGAGUGAAGAAGGUUUUCGGAUCGUAAAACUCUGUUGUAAGGGAAGAACACGUACGAGAGUAACUGCUCGUACCUUGACGGUACCUUAUUAGAAAGCCACGGCUAACUACGUG
rnacentral:rRNA from 1 species